UACAGGGGGUGCAAACGUUGCUCGGAAUCAUUGGGCGUAAAGCGCACGUAGGCGGUUCGUUAUGCUCGGAUGUGAAAGCCCUUGGCUUAACCGAGGAAGUGCAUCCGAAACUGGCGAGCUAGAGUACUAAAGAGGAUCGCGGAAUUCCCAGUGUAGAGGUGAAAUUCGUAGAUAUUGGGAAGAACACCGGUGGCGAAGGCGGCGCUCUGGACCGAUACUGACGCUGAGGCGCGAAAGCGUGGGGAGCAAACAGGG
rnacentral:rRNA from 1 species